GCAAAUGAACAAGAGAAAGACCUGUCUUCAUGAGUCAUCUGUUCAGCAACAACACCACCUCAUAUGAUGAAGCAAUAUCCAGUGUGAUGGUAUUCGGAGACACAAUGAGAAGAUGGCCAUCAGCAGGCCAGGAAUUGAGCCCUGACCAAAUGCUGCAUCUGUUAGCUCCAGCACUGUAAGAAGUUCACUUCUGUUAUGUAAGCCAUCCGGUAUGUAGAUUCUAUUACAACACCCUGGAGCGACUGUGACACUAGUAAAGAAAGCUUGCCAAGAAGAAGGGAGUCAUUAACUGCCGGAGCUAUUUGAAUAAUGACAAUGAGAAAGAGUAAAAGUGAGAGUGCUAACUGUAGAAACAGGUCCAGUUACAUGAUAAUAUGAUCAGUACAGUCUCACACUUGGGCUUUUAUGCAUCGUGGUAGCUAUCUUGAAUUUAUAAACAAUUUUACUUCAUUG
rnacentral:lncRNA from 1 species